GCGCUAACCGCCAAUGAAAAGGCCAAAAUAACUACUUUUAGAAAUGCCAAAUCAAUGGCUAUUUUGAUGAAAUUAGUUUCGGUCAAGUGUCCAUUUAUGUCUUUUUCCCUUCUAAUUAUUGGGUUAGGCCCUGUUACCUUCCUAAAACAAGCCGGGGCCAAGGCCCAUAAUACCAUUUCAUUCCAUAAACAAUCGGAAAAGGAAUACACCUCUCCGCAAUCAAUCAUUCUGCCACUCUCAUCAACAUCUCCACUCUCCGCUUCUAAAUCAGUUCUAGCCGGUGGUGGCGGGGUGAAAUAAGAGCUAAGUGAUAAGUUACUAUCUCUUGGCUCUCUGCUUCCAAAUCAGUUAACUCAACGAGCCAAGGUGCACUCCUCAACCAGCAGCACCGUCUAUGCAUUCGUCAUAUUCAUGGCUAAGUUUUUUUUGGUGAUGCAUACCAUCAUGGUCCUCCAAAGGUGAACUUUUGGCAGGAUCCAAUGAGUCCAUCAAAAUGGAAAGAAGAGCAUGACAAAGAAGACUCUUUAGAUUUAGCAGCAAUGUACAGGUUAAUUGAUCAAGUGUUAACGUUUUGUUGUAGAGUUCUUCGUAAUGUGUCCUGAAUAUUGAGCCAUUUGCUACUCUGCUAUUACCAAUUCAUCAGCAUCAUGUUUUUUUUCCCACAUAUUUGUAACACAUUGUCAUGGUGAUUGCUGUUAGCCCAUAUGUUAUUGGGCCUUUAGUUUAUGGACCUUUAGGUUAUUGGCUAUGUAUAUAUAGCCUACUCUUGCUUUAGUCAGUUUUAUGCUUUUCAGAUUAUAUUGUAAACCUUAGCCUU